GUGUUGGUGGUCUAGUGGUUAGGAUGCUUGCCUUUGGAUCAAGCGAUCAUGGGUUCGAGUCCCACCUCUGGCACU